GGGAAUAUUUUACUGGUAGAUGGAAAUGCAUGCGGAGAGAUAAAGAUCACAGAUUUCGGACUGUCUAAAAUCAUGGACGAUGACAACUAUGGAGUAGAUGGGAUGGACCUGACAUCGCAAGGGGCAGGCACUUACUGGUACUUACCCCCGGAGUGUUUUGUGGUGGG